rnacentral:rRNA from 1 species
AUGGCUCUCGAAGCGCGCCUCCGCCUCCCGCUCGCCGGGCCAACUCCGGCCACCGCUUUCCUCUCAGGAUCUAACCCCAAACCCAGUCACAUAUCCUUCUCCCUCAAACCCACCUCCACUUCUCUCUCCGCCGCCAAUGCGCCGCCCAUCGUCGUCGUGGGCUCCGCCAACGCGGACAUCUACGUCGAGGUCGACCGUCUCCCGCUCGUCGGCGAGACGGUUGCCGCGAGUGCCGGUCACAGCCUCGCCGGCGGGAAGGGCGCCAAUCAAGCUGCCUGUGGGGGGCGGCUGGCGCUGGGGCCCACCUACCUCGUGGCGCGCGUGGGGGACGACGCCAACGGGCGCCUCCUCGAGGGGGCACUCGCGGACGCCGGCGGCGUCCGCCUCGACCGCGUCGCUCGCGCCCCCGGCGCGCCCUCGGGGCACGCUGUUGUCAUGCUCAUGCCCGACGGGCAGAACUCCAUCAUCAUCGUUGGCGGCGCCAACAUGGAGGGCUGGGCACCGGAGGUCGACCCGGAGGACCUGGACCUGAUCCGGCAGGCCGGCGUGCUACUGCUGCAACGGGAGAUACCCGAUUGGGUCAACAUUCAGGUCGCUCAGGCUGCAAAAGGCGCAGGUGUGCCUGUUAUCUUGGAUGCAGGUGGAAUGGAUGCUCCUGUCCCCAGAGAACUACUCGAACUGGUGGAUAUUUUUAGUCCAAAUGAGACAGAGCUAGCACGUUUGACUGGGAUGCCUACAGAGACUUUUGAACAAAUCAGCCAGGCUGCAGGAGCAUGCCAUAAAAUGGGUGUGAAAGAAGUUUUGGUUAAACUUGGAUCACAAGGAUCUGCUCUGUUUGUCGAGGGAGAGGAACCAAUUAGGCAGGCGAUAAUACCUGCCGCAGAAGUGGUAGACACCACCGGCGCUGGUGACACCUUCACCUCAGCUUUUGCUGUAGCUCUGGUGGAGGGGAAGCCAAAGAAAGAGUGCAUGAAAUUUGCUGCUGCCGCCGCCUCACUGUGUGUUCGAGUGAAGGGAGCCAUUCCCAGCAUGCCUGACAGGAAAACUGUGAUGAGCCUUCUAGAAUCUGUGCAAGAUGAAUAA